rnacentral:rRNA from 1 species
ACACGUGACGAUUCUCAGUAGACACUCAGGAAUGGGCUAUACGUAUGAUGCAAUGCAAUUAUCGCUUGGAUAGCCCGGUCAAUAGUAUGUGGGUAUGCUACCAGCUGUGAUCUGUAUGUCUGAAAGACGAUCACACUUGGAUGAACACGCCNAAUCUACGGAGCACAGUGGGAAUCUGCGCAUGACGAAGUCUGGCGCAGCCAUGCCGGUGAAUGAUGAAGGUCUUAGGAUGUAAGUUCUUAGCCUGUGACGAUGAUGACGGUAACAGGAGAAUAGCCCCGGCUAACUCGUGCCAGCAGCCGCGGUAUACGAAGGGGCUAGCGUUGUCGGAAUUACUGGGCGUAAAGCGCGCGUAGGCGGUUUACAAGCCAGAGGUGAAUGCCUGAGCUCAUUAGGAAUUACCUUUGGACUGUAUGGGUUUUGAGGGACGAAAGAGGUGAGUGGAAUUCCCCAGUGUAAAGGUGAACAUUCCGUAGAUUUUUGGGGAAGAAACACCGUGGNAAAGGCGGGUCACUGGGUCCGUAAUGGACGCUUGUAACGCCGAAAGCGUGGGGGAUUCACCCCGGGAUUUAAUAACCCCUGUAAUUCCAAGUNUGUAAA